GUCCUGAUAGUAUAAAUUAUUACUCUGGUUUUGUAAGCCAAAAAUGAAGAAACAUCUUCUCAGGGCA
rnacentral:tRNA from 1 species